AGUUACCACUAGGGGUGCCCAAAAGGCUGAGAGAAGCUAUGGCUUCAACCCUUUGUACCUGAUCUGGGUAAUACCAGCGAAGGGAAGUGGGUGGAACGAGUG
rnacentral:ncRNA from 2 species